rnacentral:misc_RNA from 1 species
AAGUCGUAACAAGGUUUCCGUAGGUGAACCUGCGGAAGGAUCAUUACCGAGCCAAUGCCCCCCUGGGGUAUACCUCCCACCCUGUGUAUUUAUACUUUGUUGCUUUGGCGGGUAGUGCCCGUGGUUACUCGCUAGCCGCCCGCACGCGCACCCGCCAGAGGUUACCCAAAUUCUAUUUUAUUCAUGUCGUCUGAGUACUAUAUCAAUAGUUAAAACUUUCAACAACGGAUCUCUUGGUUCUG